GCUCCUGUCGUCUAAUGGUUAGGAUACCGCUAUCCCAGCGGUGGAUCGGCGUUCAAUUCGUCGCAGGGGCA